GGUGGGUUAUGUUGGCUCUUUUUCUCAUUUACAAUGGCUUUGACUUCAUAUUCAGCUUCUCAUGAAAAUCGUCUGGAUAUGCUUGCUUGCCCCAAAGUGAAUUUCAAGAAACAUCAAAACAGUUCCUAAGAUAGAGCAUCCUGAGUACCAGCAUGAUUCACAUGUUGUGAGACCAGUACCAUCGUCUGCCCUUCAUACACAGGCAACAGAUUGAGUUUGCCAGCUUGCUAAACCCAGCCCUCGCAGGAUAAUAUCUGAUGUGUAUGACCCAUAUAGAACCACACCUGCUUCAAAACAUGCAGAAGCUUCACCCCAUAUCCAGGAGCUCUGUACCCCUCCAGCCCGCAGACAGCGCUCAAAAAAGAUGUGACUUCUUAAAAAAUCUUUACCUACUAUAUAUCCAUUAAUUGUCAGAAUUACCUUGAUUCUCAGUUAAAUGCACUUCUGCAGCAUAACCUGUGUGAUUUGAAGAACAUUUGACAGAUAAAUGACAAAUAUGUAAUAUGUGAUAUGUAAUAUGUGAAUACAAGUGUACAAAAUUUGAGAAAAUACAACAAAUGUGAUAUA